GCGGGCGGACAGAGCAACCGCUGCGUCUCUGCCCUGCCUUGUCACAUCUGGGUCCGGUGUUUCGGAUUCUAAAUCCUGAGUCCUGCAGCUGCUCCAGCUGUGCGCUGCUGGGCGAGCCACGUCGGCCUGCCCGUUGCCCGAGCCAGGGAAUCCUCCUGGUAGCGGGCCAGCAGCUCCGACCCAGCUGUGCUCAGUCAGAGUUCCCGGGAGAGAGUUCCAACUCGGACCUUUGGUUGGAGUUUAAAUCAACUCGCAGUGUUUCCCAUAAACUAGGGUUUGAAAUACGGUUCCUCCCCAGGACUCCCUUUCGCAUACUCACUUUAAAACGAACUUCGUGUGCACAAGCCCAGUUUGCCUUGGUUGGGGUUAGAGAACGGAAAGGGCAAACUGUGGCCAAAAAUGAGCAAGACUGUGCGAUCAUUGCCCCAAACCCUGAGACCGCCUUGCCAUAUGCGGCUCUCUUGGACACCCCCACCCCCUUCCGUAGCCAUGAAUCCAGGCAGUUGCCACUGAAGGGAAAUGAGCCGCCCAAUGGGCGCUCAGAACUAGGAGCCGCCAGAAGUUUGGGGAAGUUGGAGCGCAAGAGCGCACACAGAUGCACAGGUGUCCGCGUUCGGGCAGGCACGCGCGGCGGGGCCACCAUGGCGCGCUGGGUCCGAGGAGGGGCGGUGGCUGUGCUGUUCCACGGUGGCACGGGCUGUCCGGACUGCCUGGACGAGGUCACCUUCCCCGGAGUGGAGCACACGCGCCAAAGCUCAGCUUUCACGAAGGGCAAAACGGUCACCCAAGCGCCAGGCGUGCGCUACAGUGCAGCAACUGGGUUGACCCAGGGCCCUGGGCUCCCGGUGUGCCCCGGGUCCCGGGGCCAUUUCUCGCCCUCCACGUUUUCUUCUUUCUAUCCAGUUUCACAUGUUUAUUUUGAAGCGUGCUCCAGAUUCCUCACUAGUCGAUGCUUUCCCCGACUCCCAUCCAAACUCCCCCCAAUGGAAAAUAACACUUUUGUAUUUGCACCAAGCUGAGCAGUUGGGAUGCAAAGGACAUGCUGGGGCUCCCCUCCCCCAGUAAAGUCCACAGACGUCUCCGCGAUUGCCGGGCAGAUUCUGAGUGUCGCGUGUAACGGGCAUCAGACUUGGCACUCACUAGGUCAGAAUCCCUACAUUUGUGGAAGAAGAAAAUGAUUCCUGUGACUCUUACCUUAGGGGCGCUGCCCUUGUUUCUGAAUUUUUUCGGCAAAGAAAAAAACUGCAAUGGUUGAGCCAGGCUGCCGGCAGCCUCCCGGCUUGACGCUUCUCCAGCCGUGCAGAGUCCACUCCGGUUACUUUGCUGCGAGUCCGGAGUUUGUGCUUUCGCGACUGGACCAGGCAGCAAGGGUCUGAGGGCUGCCCACACAUUUAGGGAAGUCGAGUUUCUCCUCAAGUGUUUAUUGUUUAUUCCUUUACACGCAAAAUUGUUUCUCCUUGUCAUUUAAGUUUCUUUAUUUGCAUUUUGGAGUUACUAAAUCUAUUUUUCAGUUCCAAGAAAAUAUACAUUUAACUUGCCCAUAAGCCCCCUUGCGGGCGCAGGAGACAGGGUGGGAAACCCCAAAUAUUUGUCCUGGGAGCCCUUAUUAAAUCAGGAGGCAAACUUUAAAAUUUUCAUUAACCCUUUCCCAGAAUCAACCUCCUGUUUACCUUUCGUCCUUUUCUCCAAGUGCUUGCUGGAAGGGACGUUUUCCUGGACAAAUUAAAAAUCACAAGGCAUAACAACGGAAAAGAAAACAACUUGAGGAUGGAGUUUACUGAUUAGCUCUGAAAUUUUCAUACAUGAUCUCCCUCCUUCAUACUGGUGUCCACGUUUGUUACUAGAAAGAAAGAAAAUAAAAGAAAAAGAAAGGAAAGGAAGGAAGAAAGAAAAGAAAGAAAGAGAGAGAGAAAGAAAGAAAAGACAGAAAGAGAAAGGAAGGAAGGAAGGUUUUAAUGAGGAGACAAUGCUUUUUGUCCCUGAGCUUCUCUUGUUCAAGUGCAGAACAGAAAAAGGAGAGAGAAAGUUUGAUGCAGGGAUCAGGCCUCCUCAGCCGCUGAUGCCUCAUGAUAGAAGCACCGUGGCUUCUCAAGGACUGUAGGUUACAGAAGGCUCCCGUCUAGACUGAGUCAGGCCUGGUGGCUGGCACACACACAGUCUACCCAGUGUCUGCAAGAGCAGCCAAUUGGGAGACGUAAGUAGAACUUGGUAUAUUAAAUCUUUUGAAAUGAACCCUUAUGAGGAAAAUAACUCACAGAAGCCAAAAGAUGAGCGACCUUGUUUUUUCAGCUGUGUUUGUUCUCUAUAGGACUGAUUAGUGAGCCAGAGACACCCGGUGCUAACUCUCAGACUGGGAGUUAAAGGAAGGGGCAGUUCAGACGAGCAGCAUAUCUUCCAUAAUCCCGUGGCCAUAUUCAUUUUAUUUGGCUCAGAAAUUGGGGUUUAAUUACUUUAUGCUUACAUGCUGCACUAAUAUUGCCAUCAUCAACAAAGGAAAGGUCAACAAAGGAGGAUCUCCUCCCCCACUCCAGAGCUCCUUGGCACUGGCAUGAUUUUCCUGAUGGUGAAAGAUACAUGUAAAUAGUAAUUGAUAAGGGUUUUAUUGUUUCCAAGUACAGUCAAUGAGUACAGCCUGGGAGCUAACCCUUGCAAGUCUCCUGAAUUCAAAUCACUGUCUCCUCACUUGACUCCAGGUAUCCAGUUAGAUUAUUAUGACUUACUGGUGGCAUGAAAGCUUACUUUUCUCCUCCCUCCAACACUCCUAUCUGUAUAGAGAUUUCCACUGGAAAUUUCCAGAGAUCUCUACCCGGGAAUAUUGUGCUUGUCCUGCCCUAAACUUUCCUGAUUUGAAACAUCCAUAAUAAAUCUCAAUUUUACUUUCUACUUAUUAUAAGAAAUUCAUCUGCUGAGCCCAGAGAACCUCAGGCUGAAAGACACCACUAAUGUAACAAGGCAAAAUUCAAAUUUAAAAAAGAAUACACCAAGGCUAAGUGGCAUUAAAGUAUUUGUGGGUUUUGCUUUCCAUGUCAUACUGGUCAUUUUGUAAAGGACCCAAUUGGCCCCAGCCCAAGUAUGUGCACUAGUGGUGAACUGGCCAGAAGGGACACCUGGAAGGUUGCAUUUGCAAGAAGCUGCACCACCUGGCAGGGAGCAGAAGCAAUAAUCCAGCCACACACCAAUGGUGGACGGCUCCUGGGGAAUCAAAGAGAGAAAGCUUCCAGUGGACUCCACACUUCUCUCUGAGUCAUUGCCUUGUCCAUCCAGGUGCCCACAGCACACACCAACCCACUGCAAACAAGACCUUUUCUCCUGGGAGAAAGCCUCAACGUUUUCAAGCUUGAGUUUUCAGAGAAAGCAGAGACCCUGUCCACGGUGUGGCUGGGCCUCAUCCGAUCAGUGGACGACUUCAAGAGAAAAAGGCUGAGGUCCUCUAAGGAAGAAGAAAUCUGCUUCCCAACAGCCUUCAGGCUCAAGCUGCAACACCAGCUCUUCCCUGGGCCUCCAGCCUGCCCUGCCUGCCCUGCAGCUUUUCCACAUGCCAGCACAGUUGUGUGAGCCGGUUCCUUAAAAGCUGUCUCUCUAGAUACAUAUAGUCACAUACAGUGAGCCCUCCAUAUCCAUGGACUCCACAUCCCUGGAUUCAACCAGCCUUGUUGGAUUAAAAUAUUUAGAAAUAAAAUGUCUGCACUGAAC
rnacentral:lncRNA from 1 species